GGGCUGUAAGCAGAAAUCGGCUAAAAGGACGCAUUGGCAGGACAUUUCGCAGGAAGGCGAAUCACAGCAGUUCAGAGAGGAAAAAAGCGAGAAAAAGCCUGUGCUAAUUUCGACUGGGUAGCAUACUUUUUGGCGCGCUACUGCUUUAAUCCUGCAGUCUAAGUGAAUGUGAAAUGUGACAAGCCAAGUGACAGUUAGCAAAAGCCAAAUAAAAUGGAGAUUGGAGAUUGGAGAAAGGCGGCAGGAGAAAGGAGAAAGCAACCAAAAGAGAUGGAAACAACAACUUGCAGAUGCUGAGAUGCCGUUCAAGGCCCCAGGAGACAUUUAACAUAAUAAAAACGAACGUGUGCGGCAUUUUUGUGUUGCCUUUUGGCCAAGUUAACUCCUGUUUGUGUGUGUGUGGGUUUGUUUAAUGCUAAUAUCAGACCAAAACACACACACAGAAACAUACAAACAAACAAUAUUGCAAAUGUGUGUGCGUCAGGCAGUUGGCAAAAGUGUCGUAAAUCGUUUAGACAGCGCAACGUGGCCCAGAAAAAAGAAGGAGAAGAGGGCCAAAAACGAUAUGUAAACGACACAGUAGCAGUCGCCGUGGGAAAAACUGGGAAAAUACCCAAACAAAAAGCCAAGAAGAUGGAAGAUCUGCCGAUGAAGUGCAUUUGUUGCUCAUAAGUGAGGAUAACAAGUCUAAAAAAGGUGUGCCAAAGAUACUUUUUACAACGAUGACUGAUUGACGACUCUGUUGACUUAUAAAUGCUGUAUAAAAAAUACCUCCAAAAUGAUGAUGAUGUGUGGCCCAUCAAUAUUGUGAUAUAUAUAAAUAUAGC